rnacentral:rRNA from 1 species
UGAGCGACCUGCCGAUCUGCGGGGGAUAGCCGGCCCAACGGCCGGGUAAUACCGCAUACGCUCAUUCUGGGGCAUCCCUAGAUGAGGAAACCUCCGGGGCGGAUCGAGGGGCUCGCGGCCUAUCAGCUAGUUGGCGGGGUAACGGCCCACCAAGGCGACGACGGGUAGCUGGUCUGAGAGGAUGGCCAGCCACAUUGGGACUGAGAAACGGCCCAGACUCCUACGGGAGGCAGCAGUGGGGAAUCUUGCGCAAUGGGCGAAAGCCUGACGCAGCGACGCCGCGUGUGGGAGGAAGCCUUUCGGGGUGUAAACCACUGUUGCCCGGGACGAACUUCUGGUUUCGACCAGAUUGACGGUACCGGGUGAGGAAGCACCGGCUAACUCUGUGCCAGCAGCCGCGGUAAUACAGAGGGUGCGAGCGUUGUCCGGAAUCACUGGGCGUAAAGGGCGCGUAGGUGGCGCGGUAAGCGUGCGGUGAAAGCUCGGGGCUCAACCCCGAGUCGGCCGUGCGAACUGCUGGGCUUGAGCACUGUAGAGGCGGGUGGAAUUCCGGGUGUAGCGGUGGAAUGCGUAGAGAUCCGGAAGAACACCGGUGGCGAAG